ACACAUGCAAGUCGAGGGGCAGCAUGAACUUAGCUUGCUAAGUUUGAUGGCGACCGGCGCACGGGUGAGUAACACGUAUCCAACCUGCCGAUGACUCGGGGAUAGCCUUUCGAAAGAAAGAUUAAUACCCGAUGGCAUAGUUCUUCCGCAUGGUAGAACUAUUAAAGAAUUUCGGUCAUCGAUGGGGAUGCGUUCCAUUAGGUUGUUGGCGGGGUAACGGCCCACCAAGCCUUCGAUGGAUAGGGGUUCUGAGAGGAAGGUCCCCCACAUUGGAACUGAGACACGGUCCAAACUCCUACGGGAGGCAGCAGUGAGGAAUACUGGUCAAUGGACGAGAGUCUGAACCAGCCAAGUAGCGUGAAGGAUGACUGCCCUAUGGGUUGUAAACUUCUUUUAUACGGGAAUAAAGUGAGGCACGUGUGCCUUUUUGUAUGUACCGUAUGAAUAAGGAUCGGCUAACUCCGUGCCAGCAGCCGCGGUAAUACGGAGGAUCCGAGCGUUAUCCGGAUUUAUUGGGUUUAAAGGGAGCGUAGGCGGACGCUUAAGUCAGUUGUGAAAGUUUGCGGCUCAACCGUAAAAUUGCAGUUGAUACUGGGUGUCUUGAGUACAGUAGAGGCAGGCGGAAUUCGUGGUGUA
rnacentral:rRNA from 1 species